rnacentral:misc_RNA from 1 species
AACGCACCUUGCGCCCUUUGGUUAUUCCGAAGGGCAUGCCUGUUUGAGUAUCAUGAACGCCUCAACUCUCACGGUUUCUCGUGAUGAGCUUGGACUUGGGAGUUUUGUUGGCCUGUGGUCAGCUCUCCUCAAAUGGAUUAGCUUGCCGGUGUUCGGCGGCAUCACAAGUGUGAUAACCAUCUACGCUCGUGAUUGUCUGCCGGGUAUCCUCUGAUCACACAGAGGUUCUCCGGGGCUCACAAAUGUCUCUCUUCAGCAGAGACAGCUUUUUGAAGUUCGAUCUCAAAUCAGGUAGGACUACCCGCUGAACUUAA